CAACUGAAGAGUUUGAUCAUGGCUCAGAUUGAACGCUGGCGGCAGGCUUAACACAUGCAAGUCGAGCGGAAACGAUUCUAGCUUGCUAGAAGGCGUCGAGCGGCGGACGGGUGAGUAAUGCAUGGGAAUCUGCCCGAUAGUGGGGGACAACCUGGGGAAACUCAGGCUAAUACCGCAUACGUCCUACGGGAGAAAGCAGGGGAUCUUCGGACCUUGCGCUAUCGGAUGAGCCCAUGUCGGAUUAGCUUGUUGGUGAGGUAACGGCUCACCAAGGCGACGAUCCGUAGCUGGUCUGAGAGGAUGAUCAGCCACACUGGGACUGAGACACGGCCCAGACUCCUACGGGAGGCAGCAGUGGGGAAUAUUGGACAAUGGGCGAAAGCCUGAUCCAGCCAUGCCGCGUGUGUGAAGAAGGCCUUCGGGUUGUAAAGCACUUUCAGCGAGGAAGAACGCCUCGGGAUUAAUACU
rnacentral:rRNA from 1 species